rnacentral:lncRNA from 1 species
GCAUUCCUCCGCGGAGAACUCUGAGUCUUGGGUUGUUUCCCUGUGUGAAAAAGGGAGACUGCAGUAACGGAAAGAAGAGAAAAAUCAGAUUUAAGCGACUGAAGAAAACAGAAAUUAAUAGUUAAAUGAUUAUUGAAUAGUUAAUAGUUUGAUAAAUAUUAAACCUAGUUAAUAGGUUUAUUUAUUUUUUUACAUUUGUUAAUUUCUCUUCAAAUGAGACCAGUCUUCUUAGUAAGCUAACAUAACACUUACUGAGAACACCUAUGUGCUAGGUACUUCAGGGAAAAGGACUGAUCCCCACUUCACAGAAAACAUGGUUCUGACGGGGACCCUCCUGUGUCUGCUGCUACGUCAGAGUGUUUCCCCCAGGCCCAGGACUUAGACAGUAGCCGUCUGAUUACCUGAGGUGCAGAAUCUCAGGUGGGUCCAGCCACUAUUGUGACGUGAUAAUAUAGCAUAGGGGAAUGGUCUCCAGAGUCUGCAAGCUCAUCAACACCUUCAUUCACUAGAGCAUCAGAAGGAUAAAUGGCAUAUGCAAGGCGAUAUCUACUUUCGGGACCUGACAGUGGACAACUGCUACCUCAGUCUCCGAACACUUGAGCUCACCCAGUGUGUGAUUUCUGUGGGCUCCUGGCCCCCUAAUUUCCGUUACAGGUUUAGGAUGUUCUCCCAGCACAUCCACUUGACCUGUGUGUGGAACCAGCCAGUUCAUCUGGAGGGCUAGACUCCUGAGUCAUCAGGCUAGGGCCUGAUGAUCUCAGGCCCCAGCGCCCUAAUUGGACUUUCCUUCUGUGGUUCUCUACCUUAUUCGACUUCUUCCCCAAAUCUGCAGACCUCACCGACUGCAGCCUGCCAGCUCUCUCAGGGCUCCUCAUCUCGGGGUGAGGUGGGGUGAGGAGACAUGGGUGGACAGGGGGAGAAGGGCCGCUCUGCCUCUUCCAGGCGGAACCGCCCUUCCUGUAGAUGAAUGCAUGGCCCACUGACACAUCCUAGGCUGACACUUGCCUCUUUUCCAGCUUUUCCUCAGUCCUCCUUUUACCUGGGAAUCUUUCCUGGGUGCUCAAAAGGGUCACCACAGUGACCUCUACCCCUCCAGUGAGAAUGCUCACGUUCAGAGUCGUGAUUCUGUGUGUGCCCUGGGCUGAGGACUCUGCCCUAGAGAUAUCUGAGGAAUGGAACCAUUAAAUUAAAUUGAUACCUGUUGAUAUCUCUCCAGACUAUUAAGUCCACAACCCAGGCCGUCUCAAAGGUUCUUACUCCUGAAGCCAUCCCUCAUUUUUUGUGCGAGUCUUGCCCAAAUGCCAGGGUGCUGGCGAUGGGGCCUAUUCUUGCCCAAAUGCACAGAUAAUUCUGAAGAUUGGGCCAUACUAGAUGUGUGUGUUGGAAGAUCUGCCAAGAUUCUACUGUCAGCUAGUCAGAGCUCUUGAGUAAAUCCCUCAGCAUCUUGUCCUUAUAAUUCUAUUCAUAUAGCUGAGAUCAUGUCACGGCUCCAAAAGCCACCAUCCAAAUUAUGGGCAUUUUCUGUCCAUAAAACUUUGUGAAAUGAUUCCUUGUAGGAAAUUUAUCCAAGGGAAUCACCAGAUCUCAAGUACCUUCAUAGUAGUUCAACUCCAACGCAUAAGCCACCGCGCCUAUGUAGGGGCUCCACACAAUGUUUGCACUCCACACAAUGUUUGCGCUCCAGGAUAAGAGAAGGAGAGAAGGGAGAAAGGGAUGCAACUUUCACCUCAAUGGGAGUGAAUGAAUGGCCUCUUCAAACAUGACCUGUCUGGGAUUCUGAGUCAUUCUAGUUCCCCUGCAACAGUAGGAGCCAUCUUGACUUUAUCUCUGAAUCUCAGUGUCUGUCUUAUUCUGUGCUUGGGUUUUAGUAGGUUACCAGUGUUUGCAGAAGUGACCCUGCCUGAUUUGCGGUGGACUGUGAAGCUAAGUGUCUACUCUUUUCCCUCCGUAGGCCACUGGGAGGACAGAUGAUGCUCAAGUUUCCCUUUUUCCUCUUGGUCUUAUGUCACUUACUGCUUUCUUUUCUUUUUUUUCUAGCCUAUUGUUUUCUUUUUAAGACAGGUGACAUUCUGUCACCCAGGUUGGAGUGCAGUGGUGAGAACAUGGCUCACUGCAGCCACACAUCCUAGGUUCAAGCGAUUCUCCUACGUCAGCCUCCUGAAUAGCUGGGACGACAGGUGUAUGCUACUGUGCCUGGCUAAUUUUUUAUUUUUUUCGAGAGAUGGGGUCUUUCCACGUUGCCCAGGCUGGUCUUGACCUCCUGAGCUCAAGCGAUCCUCUGGCCUUGGCCUCCCAAAGUGUUGGGAUUACAGGCGUAAGCCACCGCGCCUGCCUUAUUCUAUUGUUUCCUUUCUCUCCCACCCUCCCACUUCUUUUCUUCCUCCCUUCUUUUAUUCCUUUUUUUUCACAGCACAAGAUAUCUUCUAAUGUAAAUAUUUGAUUCUUUAUGAUAAAUUAAAAAAAGACUGGGGUGCAAAUCAGAAUCAAUCACAUUUUUUUCUUACUCCUUGGGGGCUCAUUUGACUCUUGAGUGG